GGCCCCGUAGCGUAGUGGUCAGCGCACCGAAAAGGGCCAGCGUUGUUUUCCUUAGCGAAGUUUGCUUUUCUGAACAACCUUACCAGCGGAGGCGUCAGUUCGAACCUGACCGGGGCCA